UUUUUUCAGAUCAUUCUAAAUAAAAAUUAAAAUAAAACAAACAACGAGAAAGUUUGUUGUAACGGCCGUACGACUCCUUUGCCGUCUCCGCAGUCGCCGACGGUUCCCUCGAGCUGUGGGAGGCCUCGCUGCCGUCUUCCGCGAACCCGGUCUGCUCCUUACGAGAGCACUCACGCAAGGCCCACGAGGUGGACUGGAAUCCCGUCCGCCGCGACUCCUUCCUCUCCGCCUCUUGGGAUGACUCCCUCAUGUUCCGGGCUCUCUUCCGUGAGCUCUCCUACUGCGGUCUACGCCGGUGCACGAAGCCGCCGCCACGUCGAUGUCUUCGCUUCCGCCUCUAACGACCUCGCCUGCCUCCACCCUCCUCCUCCUUGCUCGCGACCGCGGGACUCUCCCAUGCGAUUGGAACAAGUACUCCGAGUACUGCCCUAAUCGUGAGGUACGAUUCCCGGUCGGAAUCGACACGAGUGUGCUGGUCGACGAACGAGUUUGUUUAUGCCUGGCCACACGGACCGACCCCAGAGCGAUGCCUUGGGCUGUCUUCUUGAUUCCCAUUUCUUGUGAGAGAGAAGCUGUGGAAUGAUGGUUUGCUUAUGUAGGUUUGUUGCUGAUUUGUGAAGCUUAAUAGAAGAUAAUAAAAGGGAUGAAGACGAGGCCAUCACCAACCACAUUAGUUACAGAGUUGAAUCAUGGAAGGUCCUUUGUUGAGCUACAUGAGGAGAGAUCCAUUUUUGUGGUAUGUUGGCCCUUUAUGGAGUUACAUGAAGAAAGAUCCAUGGUUGCGGUCAUAUACCCUGUUUUCGGAUAACAUUGUAAAUUCUUGUUUUUCCUUGGUUAAUAGCAAAUCCAUGGAAGUAUUGUAUAUGUAUGAUGUUGUAGUUAGGAAUGCUUACUGGUUUAACUAUUUCGAGGUUUUGUCAAUUUAUAAUGACCCAUCUGAAUCCUUUGGUUUAUAUGUUCUCUAAAUUUUUUUGCAGCAAUUAGAUUUGUGAUGCUAUAUGGAAGUUUCAGUUGAUUCUCAUCACCAUUUGGUUCAGUAUUUGCAUAUGGAAUACCAUAUUAGUUAUUCAGAACUUCCUCUGUCCAAUCCAGAAUAGCAUGAUCCUCAGUCAUCCACUGCUCCAUUAAUUUCAUUCAUAAUUUCGAUGUUGGUUUAGGCAUUUUGUAAUAUUUUCUGUUUUGUGUGAUAAUUAGACAAUUAGUUCCGUUUUGUUGCUCGCCAAAUAAUCAGCUGUAUUAAACAAUUUCAAGGGUUGACAUAUUCACCAGAUUUAGAUCAUUUUGUUAUUUUCUUUUGACUUAAAGUGAUUAUUUUUAAUGAUGUUAUAUAUUGAGAUUGAAUCGUGGAAAGGAAUGUUGUCACUUGAUGUCCAAAUUCUUGUUGUCAUAUACAGUGUCAUUUCUUAUAACUCAUUAUCCAUGUACUUGGUCAUCUACAAUAUUCUUAACUAUUUUCUACUGUGUCACAGAUGAUCAUCGCAUACCCGCAACAUUGUCGUUAACGAACUGUUCAUCACUUAUGUUUUCUUGUGCAGUUGUUUGGCAUUGUGUUUUGCCUUAUUUUUAUAUGUUUUUCCUUAGCUUUUGUAAGCCUACACAGUGCACAAGGCUGCACAGCAACCGCUCACCGAACAAGGCAAAACUGAGCCAAAACUACCUAAUCUCUCAAGCCUACGGUAUAGUGCAAAACAUCACUCAUCCCAGCCCUUUGGGACCCCCUUUGUGACACAAGGCUAGAUGGGGCUUUGGGGUAAUGUUGGGUCUUGUUUGGAUUCACAAACUUGUACUCAAAAUAUGCAUAUGCUUGCCUAACACUCCAACGCCAGUUUAAUGAUCGUUGUGGUCUUGCAACCGUCUUUUUUCCUUCCAAAGUCCUUGUUUUCUGUCUGUACUCGAACUAUAUGCUAAAUUGCUUGAGUACUGUAUUUCUGAGCGAGACGUCGAGACUCACCUGUCGCCCAUCUUUGAAACUAACCGACCUUUUCUUGUUUGAUAGAUCCUUUUGGGACUUGUGCGAGGUUGUACUUAAGUUGUCCCUUUGCGGGCGACCAUUGCAAGUGUGUCUCACAACCGUUCUUAACUAUUUUCUACUAUGGUUAGGAAUUUCUUUCUGUAGCUAUAAGAAAAUUAUCAAUCUAAUGCCACUUAAAAGUCAUUUUUGCUUUAUGUUGAAUUUGGGCAGCAGAUUAUUGUAUCUUUUAUUACUUGAUUGACAAAUCAGUGAAAGCUAUUAUUUGGUCUUAAGUUUUGGCAUGUUUUCUUUCAUAAUGAAUAUUGUAUCAUUUGGCGACAUAGUAGGUUGCAACAUGUGCUUUUUAAUGUUGGAUUAGUUUAUGCAUCUGAGCUGUCUUCUUUAUAAACAUCGUCCAUCACCUAUAGCUCGAGUAGUACCUUUAUUAUCAUGAUUGACGUAUGUACUAGAUUCUCCCUUUUUUUCUGUAAUGAGGCCUAUGGAAUAACUGUGAAAUAGUUAAACCUACCUAAAUGAUGUUUCUCCUUUCACCUCAUGACUAUGUUUACAAUUGAAACAUUUGAAACAUUUGCAAUGAGUUACUUUGUGUUUAGAUCCAUGGUUGUAACCGUAAAAGAAAAGUCAUUUGAUGCUGUCUAUGCUGAAGGCAGUCAUAUAUGUCCAUGUUCUUCCAUUUGCUUUCUUGCUUUUUUGUGCAUCAACAAGAAAAAUCUUUGCAACAUUAACAUGUGAAACUUCUUCCUGGUAUUUUACAGCAGAACUGGUCAUCUUGCGUUUAGCCAAAACAUACCCAACAACUGGUCUGGAUCAUACUGCUAUAACUCAUCUUGGUUAGAGUGUUAAUAGCUGAUGCUGAAGAGAUUGACACACUCCCAUUACAUUACUUCUGCUUCAUGCCUUGGAUAACUGAGAAACUUGCUAGAGACCUGCACUUAUUUCUGCCACCUGGUCCCAACACUAUGGUCCAACUGUUUCCAUCUUGCUAAAAAGGUUCAUUCCCAUCAUAAAGAUAAACUUAUCUGAGUUUGCUGCAGUGCACACAUGCUUCAGACACACUAUUUAUACUGAAUUAUCUCUUCGAACCUAAAAUAAGUUUAUCAGCUUAUGAUGCAUAGAUUUCUAAGUCGACGGAAUCAUUUGAUCCAUGUUCCCCGACAAGCCCAACCCAAUUUGAUAUAAUAAUGACGUGGAGUGUUAUACCAGAGCAAGUGCUGCUACUAAUAUUAUUCUACAGCUAUCUUAUUUGUGCAGCUUCUAACGGGACAUGAACUUCCACUUUCCUUUGUGCUGCUGCUGCUGCUGAACAAAUCCAAGUUGCAUGGUUAAACUGAUGUGUGGCUGCCAGAUAAAUAAUCUCCAUGAUACCAACUCAUACUUUUGUUUCUCCUAUUGACAUCAUUGGAUUGAUCAUUGUGGCUGUCAUUGUUGCAGGACUCCGUGCCCGACUGGAAAGCACGAAGGUCACAGGACAAGUUUCAUUGCUGUCCUUUUCUCAAGGUACUGCCAUGAAUUUCUUUGGUGAUAAGAAAGAGAACAGUAGAUGGGGCACUCUAUCAUGCUGCGGACGAGUACAUGAUGGACCGAUCAAAGUAAAUGCCAAGGGAGGGGAGACGUGGUGCCGUUCAAGUCUCAGUGAAAAGGACUGACUUGGCCUUUCCAUCUAGGACUCUAAUCGCCCCCACCCUCCUCUUCAUGUGGUGGAAGGUACGUUUUCUUAGGAGAAUGGAGGGGGCCAUUCUUAUCCAAAGCUUAAAGCUCCCCUUCCACUUUGCCAAAGUCUUGAUUGAGGCCGUCCCAUAGGUUGGUCACUUUGUUGCUGGCCAUAUGCUGUCAUUCAUCAAGUAUAUGAAUAGGAACUAUUUUAACACUCUUUUCCUACUUCACCAACAUAU